GUAGGGGGCGAGCGUUGUCCGGAUUUAUUGGGCGUAAAGAGCUCGUAGGCGGCUUGGGCAAGUCGGCCGUGAAAGUCCGAGGGCUCAACCUCGGAACGCCGGUCGAAACUGCCAUGGCUAGGGUCCCGGUAGAGGAGAGUGGAAUUCCCAGUGUAGCGGUGAAAUGCGCAGAUAUCGGGAGGAGCACCAGUAGCGAAGGCGGCUCUCUGGGCCGGUACCGACGCUGAGGAGCGAAAGCGUGGGGAGCAAACAGGAUUAGAUACCCUGGUAGUCCACGCCGUAAACGUUGGGCACUAGGUGUGGCGAGUUAUACCAACGCUUGCUGUGCCGUAGCUAACGCAUUAAGUGCCCCGCCUGGGGAGUACGGUCGCAAGGCUA
rnacentral:rRNA from 1 species